GAUGAACGCUGGCGGCGUGCCUAAUACAUGCAAGUCGAGCGAACAGAUGAUGAGCUUUCUCCUCUGACGGUAGCGGCUGACGGGCGAGUAACACGUGCAUAACCUACCUAUAAUACUGGGAUAACUUCGGGAAACCGGAGCUAAUACCGGAUAAUAUAUUGAACCGCAUGGUUCAAUAGUUAAAGACGGCUUUGCUGUCACUUAUAGAUGGAUCCGCGCUGCAUUAGCUAGUUGGUAAGGUAACGGCUUACCAAGGCAACGAUGCGUAGCCGACCUGAGAGGGUGAUCGGCCACACUGGAACUGAGACACGGUCCAGACUCCUACGGGAGGCAGCAGUAGGGAAUAUUCCGCAAUGGGCGAAAGCCUGACGGAGCAACACCGCGUGAGUGAUGAAGGUCUUCGGAUCGUAAAACUCUGUUAUUAGGGAAGAACAAAUGUGUAAGUAACUAUGCACGUCUUGACGGUACCUAAUCAGAAAGCCCCGGCUAACUACGUG
rnacentral:rRNA from 1 species